ACACUUACCUGUCAGGGCAGAACCCAUGGCCAUGAAGGCAGUUUUCCCAAGGUGAGGCUUAUCCAUUGCACUUAGGAUGUUCUGACACCCUCCAAUUUACCCCCAAAUGUGGGAAACUUGACUACAUAAUUUGUUGUAAUGGGGGACUUUGUUCAUGUUUUCCCCAA